AUACGGAGGAUCCGAGCGUUAUCCGGAUUUAUUGGGUUUAAAGGGAGCGUAGGCGGACGCUUAAGUCAGUUGUGAAAGUUUGCGGCUCAACCGUAAAAUUGCAGUUGAUACUGGGUGUCUUGAGUACAGUAGAGGCAGGCGGAAUUCGGGGGGUAGCGGUGAAAUGCUUAGAUAUCACGAAGAACUCCGAUUGCGAAGGCAGCCUGCUGGACUGUAACUGACGCUGAUGCUCGAAAGUGUGUGUAUCAAACAGGAUUAGAUACCCUGGUAGUCCACACAGUAAACGAUGAAUACUCGCUGUUUGCGAUAUACAGUAAGCGGCCAAGCGAAAGCGUUAAGUAUUCCACCUGGGGAGUACGCCGGCAACGGUGAAACUCAAAUGAAUUGACGGGG
rnacentral:rRNA from 1 species